rnacentral:rRNA from 1 species
AUUGAACGCUGGCGGCAGGCCUAACACAUGCAAGUCGAACGGCUGAACGGUGAUAGCUUCCUCAUUCAGCGGCCGACUGGCGAAUAAUGCCUAGGAACCUCCCAAUCAGCUGGUUCUAACGUCCUAAAACGGGCACUCAUACGCCAAUCCCCCAUAGGACGUACGGGUGGAAUCUUCGGAUCUCCCGCUCUCACAUGAUUCUAGGUCGGAUUAGCUAGUUGGCGGGGUAACGGCCUACCAAGGCGACGAUCCGUAGCUGGUCUGAGAGGAUGAUCAGUCACACUGGAACUGAGACACGGUCCAGACUCCUACGGGAGGCAGCAGUGGGGAAUAUUGGACAAUGGGCGAAAGCCUGAUCCAGCCAUACCGCGUGUGUGAAGAAGGUCUUCGGAUUGUAAAGCCCUUUAGGUUGGGAGGAAAAGCAGUAAGUUAAUACCUUGCUGUUUUGACGUUACCAAAAGAAUAAGCACCGGCUAACUUCGUG